rnacentral:rRNA from 1 species
AGUAGUUUGAUCCUGGCUACAGGACGAACGCUGGCGGCGUGCUUAACACAUGCAAGUCGAACGUGAUUUUUAUGGAAGAACCUUCGGGGACGGAAAUAAAAUGAAAGUGGCGAACGGGUGAGUAACACGUGAGCAACCUACCUUACACAGGGGGAUAGCCGUUGGAAACGACGAUUAAUACCGCAUGAGACCACAAUACUGCAUGGUAUAGGGGUCAAAGAUUUAUCGGUGUAAGAUGGGCUCGCGUCUGAUUAGCUAGUUGGAAGGGUAAAGGCCUACCAAGGCGACGAUCAGUAGCCGGUCUGAGAGGAUGAACGGCCACACUGGAACUGAGACACGGUCCAGACUCCUACGGGAGGCAGCAGUGGGGAAUAUUGCACAAUGGGGGAAACCCUGAUGCAGCGACGCCGCGUGAGCGAAGAAGGUUUUCGAAUCGUAAAGCUCUGUCCUAUGAGAAGAUAAUGACGGUAUCAUAGGAGGAAGCCCCGGCUAAAUACGUG